rnacentral:rRNA from 1 species
CGCUGGCGGCGCGUUUAAGCAUGCAAGUCGAGCGGCAAGGGCCUUCGGGCCCCUAGAGCGGCGGACGGGUGAGUAACACGUGGACAAUCUGCCCCCCGGCCCGGGAUAGCCCAGGGAAACCUGGAUUAAUACCGGAUGAGACGGGACCCGCGAUGGCGGGAUCCGGGAAAGGCGCUGCGGCGCCGCCGGGGGAUGAGUCUGCGUCCCAUUAGCUAGACGGCGGGGUAACGGCCCACCGUGGCGACGAUGGGUAGCCGGCCUGAGAGGGUGGACGGCCACAUUGGAACUGAGACACGGUCCAGACUCCUACGGGAGGCAGCAGCUAAGAAUCUUCCGCAAUGGGCGAAAGCCUGACGGAGCCGACGCCGCGUGAACGAAGAAGGCCGUGAGGUUGUAAAGUUCUUUUCGGGAGGGGGAACAACCGUGGCAGGGAAUGGCCGCGGGAUGACGUGAAUCCCGGAAUAAGCCCCGGCUAACUACGUGCCAGCCGCCGC